rnacentral:rRNA from 1 species
UAUGUAGGGGGCUAGCGUUGUCCGGAUUUAUUGGGCGUAAAGAGCGUGUAGGCGGCCAGGUAGGUCGGUUGUGAAAACUGGAGGCUCAACCUUCAGAGGUCGACCGAAACCAUCUGGCUAGAGUCCGGGAGAGGAGAGUGGAAUUCCUGGUGUAGCGGUGAAAUGCGUAGAUAUCAGGAGGAACACCGGUGGUGUAGACGGCUUUCUGGACCGUAACUGACGCUGAGACACGAAAAGCGUGGGUAGCAAACAGG